rnacentral:rRNA from 1 species
AUGCAUGUCUAAGCAUGAGCCAUAUUAUGGUGAAGCCGCGAAUAGCUCAUUACAACAGCCAUAGUUUAUUGGAUCUACCCUCUACUUGGAUACCUGUGGUAAUUCUAGAGCUAAUACACGCAAAAAGCUCCAACCUUACGGGCGGAGUGCAUUUAUUAGAACAAAACCAAUCGGGCUUGCCCGUCGUUUGGUGAAUCUGAAUAACUCAGCUGAUUGCACAGUCUUUGUACUGGCAACGUAUCUUUCAAGUGUCUGCCUUAUCAACUUGAUGGUAGUCUACAUGACUACCAUGGUUGUAACGGGUAACGGAGAAUCAGGGUUCGACUCCGGAGAGGGUGCCUGAGAAACGGCAACCACAUCCAAGGAAGGCAGCAGGCGCGCAAAUUACCCACUCUCAGCACGAGGAGGUAGUGACGAAAAAUAACGAGACAGUUCUCUAUGAGGUCUGUCAUCGGAAUGGGUACAAUUUAAACCCUUUAACGAGGAUCUAUUGGAGGGCAAGUCUGGUGCCAGCAGCCGCGGUAAUUCCAGCUCCAAUAGCGUAUAUUAAAGUUGUUGCGGUUAAAAAGCUCGUAGUUGGAUCUGCGACCUUGCCUCCUGGUGUUCCCGCUGGGUUCUACUAGGCUGGCAGGUCUACCUCGUUGGUUUUCCACUGGUCCUCUUCACUGAGUGCCUUUGGUGACCAGCAAGUUUACUUUGAAAAAAUUAGAGUGCUCAAAGCAGGCGCGUAGCCUGAAUAGUGGUGCAUGGAAUAAUGGAAUAGGACCUCGGUUCUAUUUUGUUGGUUUUCGGAGCGCGAGGUAAUGAUUAAGAGGGACAGACGGGGGCAUUCGUAUUGCUGCGUUAGAGGUGAAAUUCUUGGAUCGCAGCAAGACGGACAACUGCGAAAGCAUUUGCCAAGAAUGUUUUCAUUAAUCAAGAACGAAAGUUAGAGGUC